CAUUCACGUUUGGGAUGAGCCAUCCGCUCUAGCAGUGCAGAAGAUGUAGUGUUCCUACCUAAGCAGGGAUGGGCCUGGAUCUCAUGGAUGAAGCUACACAGUCCUUGCCAGAAAAGCCCCAGCAUCCAAUUACCCUGGCGGCCUCAGUGAAGGCCUCCUAGUGGUCAGCCAUCUGCCUUGGCAGACAGGAAGCCUCCGUUUCGCUCUUUCCCUGUCUCGGGUAUCAUCUUUUGCCUUCUCUGUUUUAACAUUUCCCCCUGCUUUGAGGUUUUAUAAUCUGAGAAACUCCUGUCAGCUUAGACCGAAAUAUAUUCCAAGAAUGGCUCUAACAUACCAACAAGUGACCCUCCUGGUUUUCCUCUGAAGUCCACUGGAUAGAAGCCCGAAGCAGGAGGCAGGAAGCAGGGAGGUGUAAAAUGAAGAAGAGUGUUCAUUAAGGAUGUGGCCCACUCCCCUCCGACCUCUGCACAGGACACACUGGGUUGGGAACACUGGCCUGCAUAGACCUUUAGGAAGUGUAAGCAAUUUUACAAACGCGAUGAGAUUUCUGACUUCUCCUGAGAAAUCUUCAGGAAUGGCCGCACGGGGUUGCCUUCUUCAUCAGAACACACUUGGCUGCAAGUGAGCUGCUCCUUCUAAAACCUCCAGGCAUUCCACAGCUGGAGCAGUUCCUCGUACUGUCCGACUUCCCCAAUACUGCUUCCGUACAGCCCGAAGAACCAAUCAGUCCCGUUGUCUGGGGUCAUGAGAGGUUUUGACGCUGGCCUAAAAGGAGCCCUUAAGCUCACUCACUUUAAUUUCUUCCCCUACAGUGAUGUUGUGCAUUGUCUCUGGAAUCUCAUUUUCAUUCUGAACCUUCAUAGUUCAUCAUACAAAGUAGAUGCUUAGCUAACAGAAUGAAGUCUCACUGAAUGACAGUCUUUGAGCAGGAGUCUCUCCAACUUCUCCCAAGGACCACUCUCCUGCCGCAAGGCUCACUGAAGCUCAGGACCAUUCUCCUACCGCACAGUGUGCAGAGAACCACCCACAGCGUUUUACCAUGUACUUUCUUGGUAGUGGGGAAAUCUCAUGUAGUCCUUACCGGACCCGGGGAUCUCUGAACCAACACACCAGCGAAGCUCCUUCGAUCAGAGAGAUUUCUAUUGGAUUGAGACUUCAGUGCUUCAUAAAAGGCCCAUCGUGCUAAUGAAGUCUCGUCAUCCUGGUUAAGAUAGUUACCACAGUUGGCCUCAGUUUCCUCCUGGGAAAAGCACAAUAAACAUUCUACAGGUUCCCACCUUGGUUUCCUCCUAAAGUGAGGUUAGUACACUAGAUAUACGGGUACUUCCCACGGCUCUUCAUGAGAAGACUCUUCACCAGCUUAAAAAAAAAAAAAAAAGAUAAUUUCUGAGUUCCUAUUAAAUAAGCACCUUUGUGCUUUGAUAUAGGAUGAAGUGGAGGACCUUGACCUUGGACUCGCACUGCCAAAGCUGUGUCACCGCUGAUGUGGAAGAAGGCCUGGUGCGCACGGCUCGCAAGCGUCUGGCAGCUCACGCAAGAGUGGCUCUCAUACUAAUUAGGGCGGAACAAAAUGGAUGCCUUCCCUUUUUUUGGUAGAAAAUUAAAAACCAAGAAAACUGUUGCCCCAUCUUUUGAUGUGACUUAACACCAGAGGCGGGUGUGAAGAGAGGCACCUGAACUGAAAGGAAGGGGAGAAAAUACCAUGGUGCUAAUUGAAUUCCUAUCUUCUCCUUUCUCAACGCCAGAAAAACACAACCAAAGCUCUAACUGACCCAAAUGGGCCCCUUCU
rnacentral:lncRNA from 1 species